CACGUAGGCACCAAGCGUUGUCCGGAUUUACUGGGCGUAAAGGGCGCGUAGGCGGCGCAACAAGUCACUUGUGAAAUCUCCGGGCUUAACUCGGAAAGGUCAAGUGAUACUGUUGUGCUAGAGUGCGGAAGGGGCAACUGGAAUUCUCGGUGUAGCGGUGAAAUGCGCAGAUAUCGGGAGGAACACCAAUGGCGAAGGCAGGUCUCUGGGCCACUACUGACGCUGAGAAGCGAAAGCAUGGGGAGCGAACAGG
rnacentral:rRNA from 1 species